AAGUCGUAACAAGGUUUCCGUAGGUGAACCUGCGGAAGGAUCAUUCAUAAUAAAAGUGUUUUAUGGCACUUUUCAAACAAAUCCAUAUCCACCUUGUGUGCAAUGUUUUUUUUCAAACAACCCUUUUCACCCUUUUUCCCAAUCAGUUGAUUUAUACUGUUAAUCGUUAUGAAAAUAAUGAUUACACGUUCUUAAUUGAACACAAAUACAACUCUUAGCAAUGGAUGUCUAGGUUCUC
rnacentral:misc_RNA from 1 species